rnacentral:rRNA from 1 species
CGGGGUGCUGCACCAGUGAGGAAUAUUGCACAAUGGGGGGAACCCUGAUGCAGCAACGCCGCGUGGAGGAUGACGCAUUUCGGUGUGUAAACUCCUUUUAUAUGUCAAGAAAAUGACGGUAGCAUAUGAAUAAGCACCGGCUAACUCCGUGCCAGCAGCCGCGGUAAUACGGAGGGUGCAAGCGUUACUCGGAAUCACUGGGCGUAAAGGACGCGUAGGCGGGUUGGAAAGUCAGGCGUGAAAUCCUACAGCUUAACUGUAGAACUGCACUUGAAACUUCUAAUCUAGAGUAUGGGAGGGGGAGAUGGAAUUAGUGGUGUAGGGGUAAAAUCCGUAGAUAUCACUAGGAAUACCUAAAGCGAAGGCGAUCUCCUGGAACAUUACUGACGCUAAGGCGUGAAAGCGUGGGGAGCAAACAGGAUUAGAUACCCUCGUAGUC